CCCGGAAGUGCCUUCUCUCCUCCCGGGUCUGCGCGGACGCGGCCUCCUUACCUCAUUUGUCCUCGCCCCUCCCCGUCCCUCUACGCGUUUUGGUCCCUGUUUGGUGCUUUCUGUUUGCAGCUACGGCAAUCUGGGCAUAGGAACCAAUCAGAAACAAUCGCUUCAGCAAUCAAGACCAUUGUUCAUCAUGGAGGAACCCAUGGAUACCUCUGAGCCUCUAUCUGCAUUACCAUUCACUGGGCAGCAGUCUUUUGAGCCAAGUGGCAAAUUUGGACAGUAUCCAUCGAUGCAGAUGAACCACAUCCAGGCACUGGGGAAGUGGAGGACAUAGAACAGCUCAAUCAGUGUUUGAUCCAACACUUCCAUCUCAUUAAGACAAGUUUGAUUUUUCUUUGCUUUUUAUUUCAUGGAAUACAUGAGAAUCUCUUAACUGUUGGAGUUUCCAAGGAGGCAUACCUCAUGACUUCAGUUAAUGGAAAGAACAAAACUAAAAUGCUGUAUGGCCAAAGCCACAAAGGGAAGGAUCCACAAUUUACAUUCUUGGAGCUAUCAUCUGUACUGUACUGUUGUGAUCUACUGAUUGGCAUUGGCAUAGUAGUAGGGGUCAAGUGACAGAAUCCGUGCCAGCAGUCUCCAGGUUCAGAAGCAAUUCAAGACCCUGAUGAUAGCUCUCCAGCAACCAACACAUGGUGAUUGUGCCAACUUGUUGCUCAGUUAUAAUGCAGGGCCAGUGAUUGGUUUAAGUGAAGACCAUGGUUGAGAUCAUUUGUCUUUGGUCUAAUAGAAUUUGAGUCUAGUAGAAUUUGAGUCUCCAGGGAAAGAGCUACUUGACCAAAUUAAACUAGUAGCAGGUAGAGCAUGAAUGACAGCAUAUUAUACCAUCAAGAUGUUCUUAGAGCAGUGUAUGGAUGGAUCGAUUGUACUGCCAUCAGUUGUGACUGACGUUGUAUUCAAGGAGAAAGAGAAACUUGUUUAGAAAGCACUUUGAAAGUUUUUUGAGUACGGGGGUGCCCUGUAUCACCCCGUUAUGGUUGAACUUUCUCCUUCAAAAUUACCAGACUUGGCAGCAGUGGCAAAUUAUUGGGCUAAAAGACUUAAUCAGACAUAUUCUGGGUUCAAGGCUCCUAAUAUAAUACCUGGUGCAAACAUUAUACUUCCACUCAUUCAGAUGGUUGCAUCCUGCCAGGCAUCCAGUGGGACUGGGAAUAUGGACACUUGAACAUUAAACAUCCUGAAGAAUUUUGGAAUGACAGGUUACAAGUGAACAUAAUCAGUUCUCUAUAUUAAAAAAAAAAAAAGAUUUGGGCAUAGAUUGGGCUCACAUAAUCUUUAGAGAGAUUUUUUCAUUUUUGUGAAAGUACAGAAAUUCUUAACUGCUUAUGAAAUGCUGAUUGUUAAACAGCAUCCACAGCUAUUUUGUGUUGUUUCCCUGACCCCACCCUGAAGAAAAGAAAAAUUAUGGCAUAUUGAAAACAGCAGUAUGAUGUAAGAGAAAAGAUCACAAAUUCCUUGAGGGUGGGUCUUUUCCAUACUCAUAAGCCUAUUUAUAAUAUUCAGAGUAAUUUAUUGACACAUAUUAAUAUUCCCUCCUAUCCCAUUAAUUGCCAAAUCAUCAAACAUUUAUUGAGCACCUACUCUGUGUAGGGUGUAAGCAGUACUGGGGACUUACAGUGAUAAAAGACAUAGUUUUAGCCUUAAGUGAUGUACUGUUUCACUGAAGAGAUGGAAUAUAAGAAGCCAAGUAAUUUAUGGAAUUCUCUUCUUUGUUUUUCUUUUUUUUUUUUGGCAGUGGAGUCUUGCUCUUUAAAUAGAGCAAGGCUAGUCUGGAACUCCUGGGCUCAUGUGGUCCUCCCGCCUUAGCUUUCAGUGUAGCUGGGACUACAGGUGUGAACACAGCUUGGAAAUCUCUUAACCAUGGGAGUUAAGUCUCAAAAUUCUGGUGAUACAAGUGGUUGAAACUUAAAACUGUAUUUAAAAAAUAGGAUUCGUGAAUUUGAGAUAGUUCAUAAGUCUGCAAAAGGCUGUAUAAAUACAUAUUUUACAUUUACUAUUAUUAAUUUUGUAGUAAAUUUGAGUACAGCACUCUCUUUAUCUGUGGAAACUUCAGACUCUCCCCUAUUACUUUAAUUUCAGUGAGACAUUAUUAAAUAUAAGUGGGCUUACACAUUUGUUUUGCUUUACUGACAAAUAAUACACAACUUGGAGGCUUUUUUUUCCUUUCUAUUCUUCCUCUAAAUGUUCAACACUUUUCUGAUUUUGUGAUUUGAGGUUGUUUAAUAGCUUCCUGAGGCUCCAUUGAGACCGUAUAUACGUGACACUUAACAGUCUAGCCUUCCUCGGUACAUAUAGAUAUAUGAUGGUGGCUUUGCCUGUAGUAAAUUCAUGCCAAAACAUAGGCUUUCAGUGCCUAUUACAUAUGGCUUUCAGCUCUCUCUACUGAGGGAUGUAGGAGUUUAUUUCUGAGGUCUGAGCCUCUUUUCCUUUACUUCCUUUACUCUUUCCUAAGCCUUCUUUAUAAAAACUAUGCAUGUUCUAUUGUUUUCCUUUUUGAUUCCCUUUCUUUUAUUAUCCCCAGUAGGAGUGACUUGUAAUUCUCAUAUGUUAGAAAGGCAGAUCUCCUGGUUGAAGAAAAGAUCCACCCAAGCAAGUCAGCAUGUUUAAUAAUUUUUGAGGGGGAUCUCAAAUGUGGGAAGGAUUGUUAUAUAAGACAACCAAAUGAUGACAUGAGACAAUAAAUGCUAUAGGAAUUAUGGAGGAAUAAUUAGCUAUUUAUUUUCUUGGUUAGGGAAGAGAUAUUAUUAGUUGUAGAAGUAAUUACUAACUUCUACAUUUUUUAUUGUGGAAAUCAAAAAUAUAUAUAUGAAAAUAAAAUGUUAUAAUUGACUUCAGUGUCCCAUAAACCAGCUUCAACAAUUACCAAAUUGUGACCAAUCUUUACACACAUGCACAGGUGUCCCUCAGUAUCUGUGGGGCAUUGGUUCUAGGACCACUUAUGGAUACCAACAUCUAUGGAUGCUCAAGUCCCUGAUAUAAAAUGGUGGACUAUUUGCAUAUAACCUGUGUACAUCCCGUAUUAUUUAAAUCAUCCCUAGAUCACUUAUAAUACGUAAUACAAUGUAAAUGCCAUGUAAAUAACUGUUAUACUGUAUUAAGGAAUAACAACAAGAAAAAUGUACAUGUUCAGUACAGACGCAAUUUUUUUUGUGUGUGGAAUAUUUUCAUUCCAAGGUCAGUUGAACCCAUGGACAUAGGAGGCUGACUGUGUGUGUGUGUGUGUGUGUGUGUGUGUGUGUGUGCAUACAGACACACAUAUUUCUGAAAUGUAAAUAUUCUCUUCUUAAAAAAAUUAUUAUCACAGCUAAACAAAUUACCAGUAAUUCUUUUAUCCUCAUAUACCCGGUGUUCAGAUUUUCUAGAUUGGCUCCUAAUUUUUUUACAGAUUAUUUGAAUCUGAUUCAAUUCAUGUACUGUAAUGUUUGAUAACUUAAGUACCCUUUAUAGGUUCUCUUUUACCUCUUCUUUAUUAAAUUCCUUGUAAUUUGUUGUACUAAAUAGAUUGUCUUCUAGAAUUUCCUGUAGUCUGAAUUAUGUAGUAUUGUUUCACAUGUUCCAGUGUCCUCUUAUUUCCUGUGAGUUGGUAGUUAGAUCUAGAAGCUUGAUUAAAUUCAGAUUUUCUCUCUUUAGAUCAUCAACUUUAGAUCAUCAACUUGGAUCAUUUGUUUCAUUUUGCUUUUGAUAUGUUGUUUUUUAGAAUUACCUCUUAAAAUUUUGAUUUAAUUUUAUAAUCAUGUAAAAUGUUUAUAAAUUUCCAAAUUCAGAUCAGCAAAACACAAUAAAAUCUAUUCAGAGAAGGCAAACCUUCUGUCCAGUCUCCAUCCUGUUCCUGCUCUUCCCCUUAUGGGUAACCAUUAAGAGAAAAUUGGUGGUUGGUCCUUACAUUU
rnacentral:lncRNA from 1 species